rnacentral:rRNA from 1 species
ACCAUGCAGUCGAGCGGCAGCGGAAGUAGCUUGCUACUUUGCCGGCGAGCGGCGGACGGGUGAGUAAUGUCUGGGAAACUGCCUGAUGGAGGGGGAUAACUACUGGAAACGGUAGCUAAUACCGCAUAAUGUCGCAAGACCAAAGAGGGGGACCUUCGGGCCUCUUGCCAUCAGAUGUGCCCAGAUGGGAUUAGCUAGUAGGUGGGGUAACGGCUCACCUAGGCGACGAUCCCUAGCUGGUCUGAGAGGAUGACCAGCCACACUGGAACUGAGACACGGUCCAGACUCCUACGGGAGGCAGCAGUGGGGAAUAUUGCACAGUGGGCGCAAGCCUGAUGCAGCCAUGCCGCGUGUAUGAAGAAGGCCUUCGGGUUGUAAAGUACUUUCAGCGGGGAGGAAGGCGAUAAGGUUAAUAACCUUGUCGAUUGACGUUACCCGCAGAAGAAGCACCGGCUAACUCCGUGCCAGCAGCCGCGGUAAUACGGAGGGUGCAAGCGUUAAUCGGAAUUACUGGGCGUAAAGCGCACGCAGGCGGUCUGUCAAGUCGGAUGUGAAAUCCCCGGGCUCAACCUGGGAACUGCAUUCGAAACUGGCAGGCUAGAGUCUUGUAGAGGGGGGUAGAAUUCCAGGUGUAGCGGUGAAAUGCGUAGAGAUCUGGAGGAAUACCGGUGGCGAACGCGGCCCCCUGGACAAAGACUGACGCUCAGGUGCGAAAGCGUGGGGAGCAAACAGGAUUAUAUACCCUGGUAGUCCACGCCGUAAACGAUGUCGACUUGGAGGUUGUGCCCUUGAGGCGUGUCUUCCGGAGCUAACGCGUUAAGUCGACCGCCUGGGGAGUACGGCCGCAGGUUAAAACUCAAUGAAUUGACGGGGGCCCGCACAAGCG